rnacentral:rRNA from 1 species
GAGUUUGAUCCUGGCUCAGAGCGAACGCUGGCGGCAGGCCUAACACAUGCAAGUCGAACGCCCCGCAAGGGGAGUGGCAGACGGGUGAGUAACGCGUGGGAACGUACCUUUCGGUUCGGAAUAACCCGGGGAAACUCGGGCUAAUACCGGAUACGUCCGCAAGGAGAAAGAUUUAUCGCCGAAAGAUCGGCCCGCGUUGGAUUAGCUAGUUGGUGAGGUAACGGCUCACCAAGGCGAUGAUCCAUAGCUGGUCUGAGAGGACGAUCAGCCACACUGGGACUGAGACACGGCCCAGACUCCUACGGGAGGCAGCAGUGGGGAAUAUUGGACAAUGGGCGCAAGCCUGAUCCAGCCAUGCCGCGUGAGUGAUGAAGGCCUUAGGGUUGUAAAGCUCUUUUACCAGGGAAGAUAAUGACGGUACCUGGAGAAUAAGCCCCGGCUAACUUCGUGCCAGCAGCCGCGGUAAUACGAAGGGGGCUAGCGUUGCUCGGAAUCACUGGGCGUAAAGCGCACGUAGGUGGGUUUCUAAGUCAGGGGUGAAAUCCUGGAGCUCAACUCCAGAACUGCCUUUGAUACUGGGAAUCU